AGUGAACGCUGGCGGUAGGCCUAACACAUGCAAGUCGAACGGCAGCACAGUAAGAGCUUGCUCUUACGGGUGGCGAGUGGCGGACGGGUGAGGAAUACAUCGGAAUCUACUUUUUCGUGGGGGAUAACGUAGGGAAACUUGCGCUAAUACCGCAUACGACCUACGGGUGAAAGCAUGGGAUCUUCGGACCUUGCGCGAUUGAAUGAGCCGAUGUCGGAUUAGCUAGUUGGCGGGGUAAAGGCCCACCAAGGCGACGAUCCGUAGCUGGUCUGAGAGGAUGAUCAGCGACACUGGAACUGAGACACGGUCCAGACUCCUACGGGAGGCAGCAGUGGGGAAUAUUGGACAAUGGGCGCAAGCCUGAUCCAGCCAUACCGCGUGGGUGAAGAAGGCCUUCGGGUUGUAAAGCCCUUUUGUUGGGAAAGAAAAGCAGCAGGUUAAUACCCCGCUGUUCUGACGGUACCCAAAGAAUAAGCACCGGCUAACUUCGUG
rnacentral:rRNA from 1 species